ensembl:lncRNA
CGUCAUUCAGAUCCGGAGCCCACGUGCCGAACUGUCAGAGUCCCGGCCCGGCCCUAACGAGACCCAGCCGCGUUAACGAGCGCCAGGUGCCGCGAGGCCGCGCCCGCCCGCGCACAGCUGCGCCUCGUCCGGAGCUCGGGGGCGGAACCCGUCGCAAAGCCUCUUAAGCUCCACCGGAGGCAGACGGGAGCUACGAAGCAGUUCUCCGGGUUCCUCGGCUGCGGGGACAGAGCCGGUUCUGUGUCUUCGUCCACGCGUAGCGCCGUCGGGGCUGAGAAGGUACGUGAGGGGCUGUUUUGAAAUGAAAUCCUGUAAACGUAACGUUACCUGUUGCUUUGUUUCAGGCUGCAGCGAGACCGCGCGCAGUAAGGAUCAGCCCGACCCGGGGAGUCGCGAGGGCCGUCCAAGCCGCUGGUUUUGUGUCGGCGAAGCGCUGCCGUCGGGCUCUCCCGGUUCUUCGGAGCCGGAGUAACAUCGCCGCCCGGCUUUCAUCGUAUGUUCGGAAGGGGCCGACGCGGGGCCGCGGCUCGUUUCCACGAGUCGCGGCGCUCUCAGCGCCCCGGGGUUAUUCGGCGGACGCCUCGGUACCUCCGGCCGUCAUCGGCGGGACCGUGCGGGACCGUGUCGCUUUAGCCUGCGUGCUGCUGGGGUUGAGAAGCGACACGAAAGGUUACUAAGACUUAAGUUUAUCUUAUUGCAGGCGGAGCGAGGACCGCGGCGGAGCAUCUCGUCGGCCCCAACCGGCGAGCGCCUGGGGUCCCCAGGUAAGCCCUCCUGCUGGGGGUUUGCGUAGUGGCGUCGCUCGGCUAUUUCGGCGUCUUUCGGGUCGGCACGGUGCCGUUGCCGAGCUCUCGCGCAGCAUUUAGAGAAGCCGGCACGGGGCCGCGGCUCGUUUCCACGAGUCCCGACGCGGCGCUCUCAGCGCCCCGGGGUUUUUCGGCGGACGCUUCGGCACCUCCGGCCGUCAUCGGCGGGAGCGAGCGGGACCGGACCGUGUCGUUUUAGUCUGCGUGCUGCUAGGGUUGAGAAGCGACAGGAAGGGUUGCUAAGACUUAAGUUUAUCUUAUUGCAGGCGGAGCGAGGACCGCGGCAGAGCAUCUCGUCGGUCCAACCGGCGAGCGCCUGGGGUCCCCAGGUAAGCUCUCCUGCUGGGGGUUUGCGUAGUGCCGCCGCUCGGCUAUUUCGGCGUCUUUCGGGUCUGCACGGUGCUGUUUCCGAGCUCUCGCUUUUUUUUUUUUUUUUUUUAGGGAAGCCGGCACGGGGCCGUCGCCCGGCUCCCCGAGAUCGAGCACAGCUCUGCGUUGGUCUGAGCCCUUCCCGCGCCCAGCAGCGGGAGCGGGUAGGACGGGACCGCGUGUCUCUUUUCUUUCUCACAGUUAUGCCGAAGACACUCCGGCGUGGCGACGGAGUCGCGGCUAACGCGAGGGAACCGAACGGACCGAACUCCGCCCGGGGACGAACGGAGAGCGGAGCGCUCGACGGCGCGUCAAGGCGGGAAACGUCCCCGGUCGUCAUAGACUAGGACGAGGAAGCCGAUUCCCCCCGGUGAGACUGCUUCUGCCUGCUGGCUCUGCAGCUCGAGAACGGUGGUAAGUUUGCGACAGUGAGCAAGAUGGGAAUAUUACCACUGCGGUUUGGGCUUUUUUGGAUGCGUAUGGGGGGGUACUCAGCAGUGGAGAGGGGCAUGAUGUUCUGAGAAGUGAAUGCAAGAAGUUGUAUGUCACAUGAAGCAAGACUAACUUGCCUGUUGAGCGUCUUUCUCUGGGGCUAUUUGGGCUGUGUCCGGAUGCCGUGCUGUUGGUAAGCCGCUUUAGCGAAGGAGCGUGACUUGACUGCCUCUGGAAGAGCCUUUUCUAUCCUUACAGCUCUGCCAUUUCCAUGUCCCUGCAGGACGAGGGCUGGUGGAGCUCUUUGUUGCAGGUUCAGGAUCCUGGCGCCUUGUCCUUUUUUUUCCCUGACAGGUAGGUGCUGUUCCUUGAGGUGAAGCUUCCCUGCUUGAAUUUCAGGACUGAAAGUGUGGGAUUGAUGGAGCGAGAGGUAGGAAGUAUUCCCUGCGGUAGGGCUUGUGAUGGUAUGUUGUCUGUUUUUUUUCCUGUUAGGUUGUUGAGCUGGUCUUUGGAAAGCUGCCGAGGUGGUGGAGCUGACCUGAGAGGUAGGUGUGCUGUGCUCCUUGUAGUUUUGUUGUGUUGCUUGCUUUGUUUCCCUUUGGGGGGUGGUAGUGGGUUGCUUGGGUGCUGGAGGCCAGGGUUUGCACUAUCUCAGAGAGAUUAUUUUUUUUGGGUGGGGGGUGGGUGCACUGGUCGGCAUUGGAAAAUUUUUGAGAGAGGGGGCCCUGCUGGGCUGUG